rnacentral:misc_RNA from 1 species
AAGUCGUAACAAGGUCUCCGUAGGUGAACCUGCGGAGGGAUCAUUAACUUGUAUGUUGAUGUGUAAUGCAUCAACAAUCAAACAACCAAAAUACAAACCAAACCCGCGAAUUCGAGUAUUCAUUUACUCAUCCCCCCAGCCCCGACAUUGAAAAGCGAAACGGAGCAUUUAGUUGCUGACCAGUGGCGCUUCACCAAUUGGAAUGGUGGAAUGGUAGCAUUGAUUUGCUGUCAUUCUGCCUGGUGACGUCACCUCGUCUAGUAGAUAUCGGCCAAUUUUUUCACAACAACCUAUUUCACCCGCUCGUAUAAACAUUGACUGAAAACAAAAGGCGUUUGUUACGAAAGUGACAAAUACCUGAAACCUUCGAAUUAUUCGAAAUCUAAGCACAACUCUUAGCAACGGAUAUCUUGGUUCUC